ensembl:snRNA U6 U6 spliceosomal RNA
GUGCUCACUUCGGCAGCACACAUACUAAAAUUGGAACGAUAUAGAGAAGAUUAGCAUGGCCCCUGCGCAAGGAUGACAAGUAAAAGGAUAGACUCACAUGGGAGCUUA